rnacentral:rRNA from 1 species
GACGAACGCUGGCGGCGUGCUUAACACAUGCAAGUCGAACGCUGAAGCUUGGUGCUUGCACUGGGUGGAUGAGUGGCGAACGGGUGAGUAAUACGUGAGUGACCUGCCCUUGACUCUGGGAUAAGCCUGGGAAACUGGGUCUAAUACUGGAUACGACAUGUCACCGCAUGGUGGUGUGUGGAAAGGGUUUUACUGGUUUUGGAUGGGCUCACGGCCUAUCAGCUUGUUGGUGGGGUAAUGGCUCACCAAGGCGACGACGGGUAGCCGGCCUGAGAGGGUGACCGGCCACACUGGGACUGAGACACGGCCCAGACUCCUACGGGAGGCAGCAGUGGGGAAUAUUGCACAAUGGGCGGAAGCCUGAUGCAGCGACGCCGCGUGAGGGAUGACGGCCUUCGGGUUGUAAACCUCUUUCAGCACGGAAGAAGCGAAAGUGACGGUACGUGCAGAAGAAGCGCCGGCUAACUACGUG